rnacentral:lncRNA from 1 species
AUAAGAAACCAGUGAGAGAAGUAAGAGAAAUCUGGCUGUGAAACUCAAGGGUAAUGGAGUUUAAAGUACCAACGGACCAAACCCAUCGGAGAAAGACCGUCAACGGACCCCGGCGAGGCUUCAGUGACCGUCUUUCAUGGUGGAAGCUUCUGGGGCUUCAAAGGGUGGAGAGAAGCAACGAUACAUGAUUCCUUUGUGACUAGAGGUCUAGAGAAGUGAGGGCGGAGCAUGGCCGGAGAGGCGAUGAAGCUCGUCGUAGAAGAAGGAGAGAACCAUAAGGUUCUACAGAGAAGGGAGAGCAAGCAUGAGAGAGAGAGAGAGAGAGAGAGUGAAAGAGUGACC